rnacentral:rRNA from 1 species
UACGUAGGGUGCAAGCGUUAAUCGGAAUUACUGGGCGUAAAGCGUGCGCAGGCGGUUUUGUAAGACUGUCGUGAAAUCCCCGGGCUUAACCUGGGAAUGGCGAUGGUGACUGCAAGGCUAGAGUUUGGCAGAGGGGGGUAGAAUUCCACGUGUAGCAGUGAAAUGCGUAGAGAUGUGGAGGAACACCGGUGGCGAAGGCGGCAUCCUGGACCAACACUGACGCUGAGGAGCGAAAGCCAGGGGAGCAAACGGG